rnacentral:lncRNA from 1 species
AUGUUUCCAUUGCUAUUAUUACAGCUUAUAAUAGGACUUACUGUUUUAUCUCGAUUUUUGAGCAGAUGGUAUUGAUAUUUUUUGUCCUUUAUGCCGAUAUUCCUAAAAUCAUUUUAUUUAUGAAAUUUUAAAAGUUGUAAAAAAAAUUUAAACAAAUGUAAUAUAUUUUAAUAACUACGACCACAUAUACAUAGUUAUUGUAAAAUUUUAAAAGAAAUAAAAA